GUGCUUGCUUCAGCAGUACAUAUAGUAAAAUUGGAAUGAUACAGAGAAGAUUAGCAUGGCCCCUGCACAAGAAUGACACACAAAGUCAUGAAGUGGUCCAUAUUUUU